rnacentral:rRNA from 1 species
GAUGCCGCGUGAGUGAAGAAGGCCUUUGGGUUGUAAAGCUCUUUCGUCGGGGAAGAAAAUGACUGUACCCGAAUAAGAAGGUCCGGCUAACUUCGUGCCAGCGGCCGCGGUAAUACGAAGGGACCUAGCGUAGUUCGGAAUUACUGGGCUUAAAGAGUUCGUAGGUGGUUAAAAAAGUUGGUGGUGAGAUCCCAGAGCUUAACUCUGGAACUGCCAUCAAAACUUUUUAGCUAGAGUAUGAUAGAGGAAAGUAGAAUUUCUAGUGUAGAGGUGAAAUUCGUAGAUAUUAGAAAGAAUACCGAUUGCGAAGGCAGCUUUCUGGAUCAUUACUGACACUGAGGAACGAAAGCAUGGGUAGCGAAGAGGAUUAGAUACCCUCGUAGUCCAUGCCGUAAACGAUGUGUGCUAGACGUUGAAAAUUUAUUUUCAGUGUCGCAGCAAAAGCAUUAAGCACACCGCCUGGGGAGUACGACCGCAAGGU